rnacentral:lncRNA from 11 species
AAAAAUCUGACAGCAGAACUGAUUGCUCUCCAUGGACAAUGCUAGCUUUUUUAUCUUAUGUUUUGAGGACAAAACAUAUCUGAUUGGGAGGUUAAUGGAUUUCUGGCUGAAAAGAGGAUCUUUAAAAAAACACCAAAAAACUUCUGUCAAGACAAUUGAAAUAGAUAUGGAAGCAUCAACAUCCAAGAGGUAUGUAUUAUUGGUUUUAUGCAAUGAUUAAAAGGAUGCAGUUCCCAAAAACAGUCAAAAUAUAGAUUCAGUGCCAUAACUAUGAUUAGUGGGGCCCAAGGACAAGGUUAUGUUUGGGGCC